AUGUCUCACUAUUUGCAGAUGAUGAGUUUCUGAUCAUUUGUAAAUGUGUAUCUAUCUUGUCACGAGACUUGAGCCUUUUUCAACCUCGUUGGUAUGCUACAAGUUGCUCACCUCUUCCUUUCUCACUUCCUCUCUCCAGGGUCCUCCUAACUACAGCACAUAUGCAGGUCUGCACAGUAAUCAGAUUCUCACUGUCAAGGGUGACCAAGGCCAGGCUGGAGCCGCUGGUCCUCCUGGUCCGCCGGGUCCCCCCGGUCCCCGAGGCCCCCCUGGGAACACAGGCAAGGACGGGCCACGUGGCCCUGCUGGCGAGUCGGUAAGAGCUUCUCCUCAAGCAUCACAAUGCCAAAUGUACACCCACUACACUAUACAAUGCACCCAUACACACCCACACACUCCACUUAGUUGCUGUUAUUCUCAUCCUUCUCCAUCAUCCCCCCCUUUCCUCAUCCUCAAACUUACACCACAAAGAAUGUAGUCCCGUAAAGCACCUCAGUCAUCAGGGGCUGCUGUUACACCAAUUGUGUUGACCUGGUAGGGUUCAACCGCAGGGUGUGACAGAUUGCAAAUGUGUGUGUGUAUGUGUGUGAAAGUGCAUUUAUACACAUGCAUUCAGGGGGAAAGGGUCUAUGCAGUAAAUUGAAGUGAACCCAUAUUCUCAUUCUUCGGGGUUUGCUAGUGAGCUGUGGCUUACCUAAAAGCUCCCAGAAUAGCAACUCUACUCCUGGCCUCAUCUGUUUUGUGUAAGACGGCGGCCACAAAGUUCUCCAACACGCCCCCAAUUCUCCCACCCUCCUACCACGACUGUGUCGCUGUGCACCCCUGAAACAGAUAUGCCACUGCGGCGAGUUCAUGGUCAGUUUGCUGGCCUCACCAAACAAUAGUUGUACUCCUCGCCUGAGGCAGUUUAUGUUUCUCAAAAUGUACUUUCUGCUUCCCAUAGUUUAGUUCGUAUGCAGCGGCAGCUUAAAGCUGUGGUUGUAGGAUGGAAGCGAGAGAGAGAGGCUAUGAAGGUUAUUGUUGUUUAACCAAAUGAAGGAAUAAAUGCUCUGUUACCCUCA
rnacentral:lncRNA from 1 species